UUCGGUCUGUUCAAACAUGAUUAACUCAGUGAAGAUGGAUUUUUCAGUCCUGCUGAGAUGCGAUGGUAAUGAGAUAGGUUAAUUCGGGAUACUGGAUUAGCUGAUUCUUUCCAGCAGAAGUGAUUCUGCCGGAGGAGACGAACAUCGUCAACAAUACCUUGCAGUGUAUCAUCAUAGAGAAGUCAAAUGCAGAAUCCUUGUGGUCGGCGUAGAAUAGACGCUUGCAGUGCAAGAAUAAUCCGGUGAUGUGAAGAUGGUGUGAGAGACCACAGGCUAGCUGGAAAUCUCAAAUAAGCUGAUUUGCCUUGAAUCUGAGAAAUCAGAGUAUAACACAAGAAAUUCGUUAAAGUAGCGGUAUGGCAAGUUCUUCAAUAAGCAGUUUUUCGAUGUUAGCAUAUGGAAUAAGGAAUGCAAGUAGAAAAAACAUGAUCUGAAAGAACCGUGAAAUUUAUGGGUAUCAAUCCCAUGUGUGCUUUGACCGUGGUAAGAAGCAAAGGGUCGCCCCCGGACGCUCAGACUUAUCAUCACACUGGCAGAAUAUGGCUUCUACCUUGAUGAAUAAGGGGAAACCCUAAUCAUGUUUGAAGAUGUGA
rnacentral:ncRNA from 1 species